rnacentral:lncRNA from 1 species
ACCUUAUAUGCUCCACAAAUUCUUUGAUGAUGAUUACAAUAAAUGAAGACAUCAAAUAAAAAAGGAAAUUUAUACAUAAGUGAAAAUGAAGAAUCCAUUUAUCCAAUCAAUCAAUCAAUAGUUGUGUCCGCGUCUUUCACCACCAAGGACAUUUUAUCGUUGAACACCUUUGUGAUCGACCACACAACAAGAAGAGCCAAAACAUGCCCAUCCUCCAGAUCAUGAACAUCAUAAUACUCAAGCAUGGUUUACGUCACUCAACAAACUUCAUAUCUUACUUUUUUUUUUUUUUUUUGCAAUGGUAACCUCCUCGACAUCAGUGUCGAUGCUUUUUCAGAGCACGUUGCCACAAGUAUGGACUUGAGGAAUCUCCAAGCAAGAAGAAACAUUGGUAGCACCACUUAGAUUAAGGAGUUUGUCGAAGAACCAUGACUUCAGCUUUUGUUGCCUAGACUUGUCGAUUUUCCCAAUUUUCUUGCUCUCGUUAGGAAGUUUCACCAACUUUCUGAAAGUUAGGCAUGUACUC